AUUGAACGCUGGCGGCAGGCCUAACACAUGCAAGUCGAACGAGAGGCGGACGGGAUGGCUAUGUCUGGGACACUGCCCGAUGGAGGGGGAUAAGUACUGGAAACUGUAGCUAAUACCGCCUAGCUUCGCAUGUGCCCAGGUGGGAUUAGCUAGUGGGAGGGGUAACGGCUCACCCAGGCGAGGAUCCCUAGCUGGUCUGAGAGGAUGACCAGCCACACUGGAACUGAGACACGGUCCAGACGCCUACGGGAGGCAGCAGUGGGGAAUAUUGGACAAUGGGCGAAAGCCUGAUGCAGCCAUGCCGCGUGUAUGAAGAAGGUCUUCGGUUUGUAAAGUACUUUAAGCGGGGAGGCGUUACUCUCAGAAGAAGCACCGGCUAACUCCGUGCCAGCAGCCGCGGUAAUAC
rnacentral:rRNA from 1 species